UUGAAAGGGAAACGAUUGAAGUCAGUCGUACCUGUGGGUAAUCAGCCUUUUGGGUGUGAUUUUGUGGAGUGUGAGGAGUUAAACGCCUUCAUGCCUGCAUAUUCGUGCACUUUGGGUGUAUUUACCCGUGUGGUAAGUUAACAUCAAUUUCGGUGGUCAUAAAAUGGCUGGAGGAAUGUAGCUUCGAUCUUGUAUUGAAGUGUUAUAGCCUUCGGCAGAUGUGAUGAUCGGGAUUGAGGAUUGCAACGGAUACCCUUCGGGGCUACCUGUCUGAUCUCUGAUCGUUGCUCUGGUGCCGAAAGCUUGCUUACGGUUAUCAAAGUCGAUGGUUAAUAGGUUAGAACGGGUUAAAUUCGUUAAGGAUGUUGACGUA
rnacentral:rRNA from 1 species